rnacentral:tRNA from 5 species
CGGGGCGGAGUUUGACGGUAGAACGCGCGCAUGGGGUGCGUGUAGAGGCAGUUCAAUUCUGCCCGCCCCGA